AACGCUGGCGGCGUGCCUAAUACAUGCAAGUAGAACGCACAGGAUACACCGUAGUUUACUACACCGUAUUCUGUGAGUUGCGAACGGGUGAGUAACGCGUAGGUAACCUGCCUGGUAGCGGGGGAUAACUAUUGGAAACGAUAGCUAAUACCGCAUAAGAACAUUUACUGCAUGGUAGAUGUUUAAAAGGUGCAAAUGCAUCACUAUCAGAUGGACCUGCGUUGUAUUAGCUAGUAGGUGAGGUAACGGCUCACCUAGGCGACGAUACAUAGCCGACCUGAGAGGGUGAUCGGCCACACUGGGACUGAGGCACGGCCCAGACUCCUACGGGAGGCAGCAGUAGGGAAUCUUCGGCAAUGGGGGGAACCCUGACCGAGCAACGCCGCGUGAGUGAAGAAGGUUUUCGGAUCGUAAAGCUCUGUUGUUAAGGAAGAACGAGUGUGAGAAUGGAAAGUUCAUACUGUGACGGUACUUAACCAGAAAGGGACGGCUAACUACGUGC
rnacentral:rRNA from 1 species